GCCAGGAGGAAAUGUAAAGAUGUAUAUUAAAAUGAAGGACCGCUUUUCCCAUAAGCCUCCCCCAGCGUUAAUCUCUGCCCUAUAAGCAGUCUGCAGCGGCUCAGGAGCCAUGCUGACCUCUCCUAGCCCUGAGGAAGAUCACAAAAGUGUGGAGGAUCUUCACCUCUCUCUAGCAGAAGAUUGCAGCAGCUUGGUGGAUUUCUGUAGGGACAGGCUUGGGAUGUCUGCAGGCUGCCCCAGCUGAGAGGAUGUCAGAGGGAUGCAGCUCCGCAGCGCAUGUGGCGCCCGCUGGAAGCUCUCCUCAUAACUCCUAACUACAGAGUGUCAUUGUGGACUAUCAACAUGUGGGGACACCUGCUAAUGAUAAAUUCAGGAUGAAGAAUGUCUUCUGAGUGCAAUGUUCUUUCAAGCACUAGGAUCUUAGAAUAGUAUUUCAGCUUUUCUUCAAAAGUAGUGAAAACAUUUACCUGCAAACUUGAAAUAGUGUGACAUGGAUCCUAGAACGUGUUGAUUGGAACACCCUGUUGUCUCCAUAAGAUUCUCACUUACUGAGUUUCCACUAUUUGUUUGCUGAGAUCAGGGCAGGACUAGAGAAUACUUCCUGCUCUCUGUGCUUGUGCUGAAGGCCACAAAAGUGGCCAGUACCAGUGACUGCUGCUGUCCUUGCUGUGACUGUGUGCCUCCUCCUCCUCCAAAAGCUCCACUUCAGUGGCUUUUCCAUGGUUAUGUAUCUCUGACGUGAGACCCAGCAACUGUCACAGCCUACUGUCACAAAACAAAACCCAAUGUUUUGACCAUCAGAAAUUCAUCUUCUGUUGUUUGGCACUUCAUUAAAAAUAAAUUAUUCCACAUCUUCCUACUCAUCUAGAUUACACAGUGAUUUUCAGUUCAGAGACAUUGAUGGGGUAAGACAACAGAGAAUGCUUGCAUAGCUGGAUGA